rnacentral:rRNA from 1 species
UGGGGAAUUUUGGACAAUGGGGGAAACCCCUGAUCCAGCCAUCCCGCGUGUGCGAUGAAGGCCUUCGGGUUGUAAAGCACUUUUGGCAGGAAAGAAACGUCGCGGGUUAAUACCCCGCNAAACUGACGGUACCUGCAGAAUAAGCACCGGCUAACUACGUGCCAGCAGCCGCGGUAAUACGUAGGGUGCAAGCGUUAAUCGGAAUUACUGGGCGUAAAGCGUGCGCAGGCGGUUCGGAAAGAAAGAUGUGAAAUCCCAGAGCUUAACUUUGGAACUGCAUUUUUAACUACCGGGCUAGAGUGUGUCAGAGGAGGUGGAAUUCCGCGUGUAGCAGUGAAAUGCGUAGAUAUGCGGAGGAACACCGAUGGCGAAGGNAGCCUCCUGGGAUAACACUGACGCUCAUGCACGAAAGCGUGGGGAGCAAACAGGAUUAGAUACCCCUGGUAGUCCACGCCCUAAACGAUGUCAACUAGCUGUUGGGGCCUUCGGGCCUUGGUAGCGCAGCUAACGCGUGAAGUUGACCGCCU